rnacentral:rRNA from 1 species
GAUGAACGCUGGCGGCGUGCCUAAUACAUGCAAGUCGAGCGAACGGACGAGAAGCUUGCUUCUCUGAUGUUAGCGGCGGACGGGUGAGUAACACGUGGAUAACCUACCUAUAAGACUGGGAUAACUUCGGGAAACCGGAGCUAAUACCGGAUGAUAUUUUGAACCGCAUGGUUCAAAAGUGAAAGACGGUCUUGCUGUCACUUAUAGAUGGAUCCGCGCUGCAUUAGCUAGUUGGUAAGGUAACGGCUUACCAAGGCAACGAUGCAUAGCCGACCUGAGAGGGUGAUCGGCCACACUGGAACUGAGACACGGUCCAGACUCCUACGGGAGGCAGCAGUAGGGAAUCUUCCGCAAUGGGCGAAAGCCUGACGGAGCAACGCCGCGUGAGUGAUGAAGGUCUUCGGUUCGUAAAACUCUGUUAUUAGGGAAGAACAUAUGUGUAAGUAACUGUGCACAUCUUGACGGUACCUAAUCAGAAAGCCACGGCUAACUACGUG